GCCCGCAAAUUACCCAAUCCUGACCCAGGGAGGUAGUGACAAGAAAUAACAAUACAGGGCCUAACGGNCUUGUAAUUGGAAUGAGUGAANUAUAAACCCCUUUACGAGUAUCAAUUGGAGGGCAAGUCUGGUGCCAGCAGCCGCGGUAAUUCCAGCUCCAAUAGCGUAUAUUAAAGUUGUUGCAGUUAAAAAGCUCGUANUUGGAUUUYUGUUGKAUAAUUUUAUAAUAUUACCAAGGUAAUUAUUAUAUUAUCAACAUCCUUCCUAUUAUAUUCUAAAUAUAUAGGAAAUUUUACUUUGAGAAAAUUAGAGUGCUUAAAGCAGGCAACUGCCUUGAAUACUCCAGCAUGGAAUAAUAAGUAAGGACUUUUGUCUUUCUUAUUGGUUCUAGGACAAAAGUAAU
rnacentral:rRNA from 1 species